rnacentral:rRNA from 1 species
GACGAACGCUGGCGGCGUGCUUAACACAUGCAAGUCGAGCGAUGAAGUUUCUUCGGAAAUGGAUUAGCGGCGAACGGGUGAGGAACGCGUGAAGAAUCUGCCCUCCACUUUGGGAUAACACCGGGAAACCGGUGCUAAUACUGAAUAUUGAAACAUAAGUGGCAUCACUGAGUUUUGAAAGAAUUUCGGUGGAGGAUGACUUCGCGGCCUAUUAGCUAGUUGGUGAGGUAAUGGCUCACCAAGGCAACGACGGGUAGCCGGCGUGAGAGGGGGACCGGGCACGCUGGGACUGAGACACGGCCCAGACUCCUACGGGAGGCAGCAGUGGGGAAUAUUGGGCAAUGGAGGAAACUCUAGCCCAGGGACGCCGCGUGCAGGAUGAAGGCCUUCGGGUUGUAAACCGCUUUCAGUAGGGAAGAAGCGAAAGUGACGGUACCUACAAAAGAAGCACCGGCUAACUAUGUGCCAGCCGCCGCCGUAA